rnacentral:rRNA from 1 species
CAAGACCUUGCGCUUUUGGAGCGGCCGAUGUCUGAUUAGCUAGUUGGUGAGGUAAAGGCUUACCAAGGCUUCGAUCAGUAGCUGGUCUGAGAGGACGACCAGCCACACUGGGACUGAGACACGGCCCAGACUCCUACGGGAGGCAGCAGUGGGGAAUUUUGGACAAUGGGGGAAACCCUGAUCCAGCCAUGCCGCGUGAGUGAAGAAGGCCUUCGGGUUGUAAAGCUCUUUCAGCCGGAACGAAAAGGUUACGGUUAAUACCCGUGACUAAUGACGGUACCGGAAGAAGAAGCACCGGCUAACUACGUGCCAGCAGCCGCGGUAAUACGUAGGGUGCGAGCGUUAAUCGGAAUUACUGGGCGUAAAGCGUGCGCAGGCGGUUUUGUAAGUCAGAUGUGAAAUCCCCGGGCUUAACCUGGGAACU